rnacentral:rRNA from 1 species
CCAUUUGGAGGGGAGAGUUAAGAGGACGUGAACCGGUGAGGUGGAAACGGAUAGAGUCGGCGUAUCAUUUCAAUUAUUCAUUUACAUUAUUUUUAUGUUGUGACCUCUGAGCUCCAGAUUGGGACAGAGGGAAUCAGCAUAAUUUUUUGUGGUGCAUUUACUUGAUUGGUGCUUGGGGAUGUUUGAGGCAGAUUUGUUUCCGUCGUUUUGAGGCCAGCUUGCUGGUACCCAAACGGUGUUAGCAUUUUUUGUCUUGGGCAUUUGAGUAUGGCUCACGGGUAUUUAUUGGACAGAUCUGAGUGUAAGUUACGGUCGCAUGCGACACGUGCUUUUCAAUUAGUUCGGUCCAGUUAAUGCUCUCGUACUCGUUCCCCAUGUAAAAGCCGGUCAUCUAUCCGACCCGUCUUGAAACACGGACCAAGGAGUUUAUCGUGUGCGCAAGUUUUUGGGUGUUAAAAACUUAAAAGCGAAAUGAAAGUAAAUGACUCUUUAGAGUCUGAUGUGCGAUCUUGUAAAAAAGUGUAGCAUGGCCCCAUUCUAACUGUUUACAGUAGGGUGGCGGAAGAGCGUACGCGGUGAGACCCGAAAGAUGGUGAACUAUUCCUGAGCAGGACGAAGCCAGAGGAAACUCUGGUGGAAGUCCGAAGCGGUUCUGACGUGCAAAUCGAUCGUCUGACUUGGGUAUAGGGGCGAAAAGAACUAAAUCGAACCAUCUAGUAGUGUUUUUCUCUCUCCCGCAGAAAAAA